GGAAAACGGGUGGUAAUGCCGGAUGCUCCGACUCCUCGCAUGGGGUGUCGGGAAAGAUUUCAUCGGUAUGGGAUGGGGUCGCGUCCUAUCAGGUAGUCGGCGGGGUAACGGCCCACCGAGCCUACGACGGGUAGCCGGCCUGAGAGGGCGACCGGCCACAUUGGGACUGAGAUACGGCCCAGACUCCUACGGGAGGCAGCAGUGGGGAAUAUUGCACAAUGGGCGCAAGCCUGAUGCAGCGACGCCGCGUGCGGGAUGACGGCCUUCGGGUUGUAAACCGCUUUUGAUCGGGAGCAAGCCUUCGGGUGAGUGUACCUUUCGAAUAAGCACCGGCUAACUACGUGCCAGCAGCCGCGGUAAUACGUAGGGUGCAAGCGUUAUCCGGAAUUAUUGGGCGUAAAGGGCUCGUAGGCGGUUCGUCGCGUCCGGUGUGAAAGUCCAUCGCUUAACGGUGGAUCUGCGCCGGGUACGGGCGGGCUGGAGUGCGGUAGGGGAGACUGGAAUUCCCGGUGUAACGGUGGAAUGUGUAGAUAUCGGGA
rnacentral:rRNA from 1 species